rnacentral:rRNA from 1 species
UACGGAGGGGGCAAGCGUUAUCCGGAUUUACUGGGUUUAAAGGGUGCGUAGGUGGGUAGGUAAGUCAGUGGUGAAAUCUUCGAGCUUAACUCGGAAACUGCCAUUGAUACUAUUUAUCUUGAAUACUCUGGAGGUAAGCGGAAUAUGUCAUGUAGCGGUGAAAUGCUUAGAUAUGACAUAGAACACCAAUUGCGAAGGCAGCUUACUAGAUAGUUAUUGACACUGAGGCACGAAAGCGUGGGGAGCGAACGGG